AGCGGUGCGUGUUACGUUCAACGAGCGGAAAACCCUCCUGCACUUGCUUUUUUUCUCUCUCGCUCUUUCUCCCUCUUUCUUUGUAUUCUUUCGCGAUGGUCUCUCUUUAGUCUGGCUAGUUCCUUUCGCCUUCUUUAGUCGCUCGUCCAGAAAACAGAUCGCCGCGGUCUCGUUUUCACACCUCGCCGCCUCUAUUCCUUACUUCGUCUUCUUUGCGCCCGUAGAUCGUCUAACCAUUUGCAUAAUGCUUGAAGUGACAUCACGCUUCGAAAAUUUUCUCCAUGUUGUCGUCCUUUUUACUCGGUCGCCGCCUCC
rnacentral:misc_RNA from 1 species